rnacentral:SRP_RNA from 1 species
CCCGGGCAUGUUGUUGUAUACCUGUAAUCACAUUUACUGGAGAGGCUGAGGCUGGUGGUCCUCUUGAGCUUGGUAGUUCUGAACUACAUUGGGCUAUGAUGAUUGUGUGUCCACAUUACAUUUAGCAUCAACAUGAUGAGCGCAUGGGAGUGGGGGACCCUUAGAUUGCCUAAGGAGGAAUAACCUAAUCCAUGGUGGAAUUGGAGCAGAUCAAAAUUUUUGUGAUAGUCAGUAGUGGGAUAAAAUCCAUGAGUAGUUCUUGCACUUCCAGCCUGGAUGAGAUGGGGAGAUCUAAGUUUUA